UACGGAGGAUGCAAGCGUUAUCCGGAAUGAUUGGGCGUAAAGCGUCCGCAGGUGGCAAUGUAAGUCUGCUGUCAAAGCGUCUGGCUCAACCAGAUAAAGGCAGUGGAAACUACAUAGCUAGAGUAAGGUAGGGGUAGAGGGAAUUCCUGGUGUAGCGGUGAAAUGCGUAGAGAUCAGGAAGAACACCGGUGGCGAAAGCGCUCUGCUGGACCUUAACUGACACUGAGGGACGAAAGCUAGGGGAGCGAAUUGG
rnacentral:rRNA from 1 species